rnacentral:lncRNA from 1 species
UGGUGAAUAAGUAAAUAUAUUAUUCACUCCUUAGCAGCCAGUGAUUAAACUUCCACACUAGAGCCUAUUUCUCUAUACGUAGUAAUUUACUAGGAGUCUGAGGACACCAUUCAGAGGCAGAGCUUACUUUUUCAUGGUUUAUUUACCUGGAAACAGGCCACUUUACACGUGGAUGAUACUAUAUACCUGGAUCAUCAUAUUUACAAAGGAAGAUUAGCCCUGAAGUCACAUCCACUGCCAAUUCUUCUCCUUUUGCUGAGGAAGAUUGGCCUCAGCCAACAUCUGUGCCCAUCUUCCUCUACUUUAUAUGUGGGAUGCCUGCCACAGCAUGGCUUGUUAAGCAGUGUGUAGGUCCGUGCCCGGGAUCCAAACCUGUGGACCCUGGGCCGCUGAAGCAGAGCGCAUGAACUUAACAACCUCGCCACUGG